rnacentral:rRNA from 1 species
CCUACGGGAGGCAGCAGUGAGGAAUAUUGGUCAAUGGGCGGAAGCCUGAACCAGCCAAGUAGCGUGCAGGAUGACGGCCCUCCGGGUUGUAACCUGCUUUUAUACGGGCAUAACGCGCAUUGCGUGUAGGGCUUUGCAUGUACCGUAUGAAUAAGGACCGGCUAAUUCCGUGCCAGCCGCCGCGGUAAUACGGAAGGUCCGGGCGUUAUCCGGAUUUAGUGGGUUUAAAGGGAGCGUAGGCCGCAUGGCAAGCGUGCUGUGAAAUGCCCGGGCUCAACCCGGGCCUGGCAGCGCGGACUGGCGGGCUUGAGUCCGCGGAAGGCAGGUGGAAUU